rnacentral:rRNA from 1 species
GAUGAACGCUGGCGGCGUGCCUAAUACAUGCAAGUCGAGCGGUAAGGUUCUGCACUUAGUAUUUAACCAGAUCAAGUCUGUGCUCUUUCGAAUUUCGAGAGUAAGUAUGGAAACUGACUGAAGCAGGGAACUCCAAGGCUGGAGAACCCGAGUUGAAUCCUGAGUGUAGAAUACACGAGCGGCGGACGGCUGAGUAACACGUAGGAACGUACCCCAAACUGAGGGAUAACNGCUCGAAAGAGUAGCUAAUACCGCAUGUGAUCUUCGGAUUAAAGCUCCGGCGGUUUGGGAACGGCCUGCGUAAGAUUAGCUUGUUGGUGAGGUAAUAGCUCACCAAGGCGACGAUCUUUAGCUGGUCUGAGAGGAUGACCAGCCAGACUGGGACUGAGAACGGCCCAGACUCCUACGGGAGGCAGCAGUAGGG